CUGGUUGUUGGCCGCUUACUCGGUGGUGUUUUUUUUGACUGGUUGGUUGCAUGGUUCGAAGGGUUUUGUUGUGUUGUAUGGAUGGACGACGCAGCGCAAUGCGACGCGACGCUACGCCAGGCCAUGCGACUGCCUCUGACUCUGACAGAGAUUUUGCACGCGAUGCCACUGCAGUUCUUGCAGAUACCUUCGUACGUUUGUUUGGCUUGCACCGGCGAAAAAAUUUUGUUGCGCGCGUGUGUUGUUGUUCUCAUUCGCCGGACAAGUGCAGCACACAACACAUAUAGUAGUAAUACACAACACAAAAUACAAAAUUCUUAAAAAAAUAUAUAUUUUCCAAAAAAAAAGAAUUAAUUGAGUUCUUAAGAAGAAAUUAUUUCAAUUAAGAGAAAGAAUUAAAAUACUCAACAAAAAAGUAUGAAAUAAAAAUUCGCCAGCAACAAAUCGUUCAACGCAAAAUCGCAUACGCGCUGUGAAAAUUAAAAUCGUGAACAUUUUUUAAGUACUCGAUUAUUUUAAUUGCUAAAAAAUAACAACAAAGAUUAAGCAAAACAAAAUGUUUUUAAAACCCGCUUUCAUCGAACGCAUGCAAAGCCAAUACGAAACGCUUCGCCUGCUCAUACCGCCGCUAAAACGUCAAUUCAAGCCGCACGCAUGCAGUGUUGCGUCGCGAAAUGCCGAAAAAAUGUGAUUGGCUUGGGAAAAUUGCAGAAAAUCAUUUUCAUACGGGCGGAAAUUUAUUAAAAAUCAUUAUUCAUUACUACGGAAAUCUAAAUAGGCUGCACGGGAUCACAAACCACCAUCGCAAAGAAAACUUUGAAAUACUACAGUCGAAGUAAAGCAGCGCUGGAGAAUGUGAGGCCAAAAAAUGAGCUAUACAGCAAAAGUUACAAAAAAGUGUGAAAAGUGAAAAUCAAGCAAAAAUUUACAACAAAAUUGGAAAAAAAGCGAAAAAAUCCAAACCAAAUUGUGAAUGUAUUAACUAUUGAAAACUGUUUCGAUAAACCCCCAUUGAGCUAUAAACUACGAAAAAUUUGUGAAAUUUCAGAUAAAAAAAUUGAAAAUAAAACAAACUAAAAAAUACUUGUGCAAAAAUCAAUUGUUCUAAUAAAAAACAAACGAAAACAAUUCUGGAAAACUUGUGCGCUGCUGCUGAAACACACAAAAAAACAGCAAUAAAAGCAACAGGAUUUAUAAGUAAAAGUGAAACUCUAUAAAAAAAUAAUCUUCUAGAAACCCGGAUUUGACAACAACAGCGCAGACAUUUUCUAAUACUGAUUGAGAGUGUUGUGAUUGGUUGAAAACAUUUAACGUUGAAAGCAAAAAAAUUACGCGCCACUGCUUUUUCAUGUUUCUGUAAAUUCUGCUGCGUGAAAAAAAGAACGAACUAAAACAGUUGCCGCAAAAAAACGUAAACAAAAUUACUAAAUUUAGUUUUUGUUGGUGAUGUACUCGCACAACGUAAUCUGUGCAAAAAAACAUUGUACCUACAAAAGAAGUGAAAAAAGUGCGGCGAUUAACAUUAACUGAACAAUUAAUUUUUCCACUAGUUUAUGCAAAAAAAAAA